AUGAACUUUUUAAUAAUCCGAGGAGGGAGGAAAGCCCUUGGUCCCCUCGGCUCGGGGGGCUCCCGGCCAGGCCCAGCUCCGCGGGAGCGCCCGUCACCCUCUCCCAGACCAGCUCUGGGCAGCGCCGGGGGGCGCAGGCACAGGCUAGGGGCCUCCUCCUGCCUUUCCGUCCGGCUGUCCGUUGAUCUGUCCGAGGCCCUGGCGGCAGUUUAUGAUUCUUCAUCAACGCGUAAAAUGCAAUCGUCGGAGCCUCGAGACUGUUUUGCGUCCCUGGAACCUAGCAGGAGCUUAUCAAAGACACCGCCGCCCCGGGGACAGUCCCUGGUGUCAGGCAAGACUGCCCCGCCAGCUCGAACCCCGGGACCCAGCUCAGGAGGCAGCCAGCCGCUUGCCAGACCCGGGGCCGUGAACGCCGGAGCCGAGCGGAAGAUUUCCGUGGGUCUGCGAUCCGUGCCUCGGUUCGCAGGGAGGUGGCUACUCUGGGCUCUCGGGAAAGCAGGGUUGUUGCUAAUGCGGGUGCUGCGUUUUGAUCGCACUGAGAAGCUGUCACUUUCCUUACAUGAGAACAAGACUUCAGGAAGGACUGGCGAUGGGCAGCAGAGAAACUGAAUGUUCCAACAGCCUUUUUCAAGUAGCCUGAGAUUCCCCGAGAAAGCAUGGGUCCUAACGGCUCAAGAUGUGUUCUCCGGGGAGCUGGAGGCUCAGGGAUCCAAGGCCAGGUUCUAGUGGGCCUCACCCACCGGCCUCACCCACCGGCCUCGGCUCUCAGCUGCCCCUGCCCGGUCUUCCCCUCCCCUCCGUGCCCUUUGUUUAAACUUCCCUCAUCCAAGGUGGCCCCUCUGGGACCAUAAGUUUGCCCUCUCUUUGUAACCUAAUUCUUCUCGCCUUUUCCUAUGGGCAUCUAAUUGGCCAGCGGUGGAGGGGAGAUUCAAAGAAAUCAGUUUGCUUAAGGACUGCCUUCCAUAGGGAUAUUUAAUUGGCAACCCAGCGACCUUCGAGCCCCACACUGGGGAUGUGCCUUGAGGGGUACUGAGGAGGAAGAGGGGGCCUGCUUUAGCCAGAGGGGUUCAGAAGUCCCCAUAGGGUAAGGCCUCAAAUCUGCUCAGGCCUGCAGCCAUCCCCCCACCCAGGGGUUCUGCAAUGGAGGGACCAGGACUCCAACAGCCCCUUCUGCUCACUGGGGUUCAUUUUCAGCCCCCAAAUGUGAAGGCUUCUUCUCCUCUCUGGCCUCCAUGAUGGCUUUCCCACCCUUUACGUCUUUAGGGCCGUUUCGAAUCGUAAAACCCGGGCUGAGAAGUCUCAGCGCCCUGGGCUGAGGUGCCUGCGAGAUCAUGUAUCUCCUUAUCAGGUUCUAACCACCCACCUCCAAGCCGUACAGCCUCCCCCAUAGGCCCUGCUGAGACCUGCAGACAAUCGGUCAGCGUUUCUCCUUCCUUCAAGCACAGGCACGGUUUACUCAGAGAGCCUGGCGGUCCUGCGGCCCGGCAGCAUGACAACUGGUAAAUCCGUUUCGUUAGACGCAAUUUGUUUGCAAUUUGUCGACCCGGCUGGGAAACUCUCUCCAGACGCCUGGGUAGCCGCAACGGCCCUACCUGCUUCUCAAAUCCUG
rnacentral:lncRNA from 1 species